CCAAGGCCUACUACAAUGACCUGAUGAUGUCUACUACUCCAAGAAAAGACAGAAUUGAAUAUUGUACAAACUCUGUUACUCUGCCCUGGUGUCCCAUUUGUGGAGAGUCAUUGUAAUGUAUGGACAGAAUUGAACCCUUCUGUAACACUCAAAAUUUUAGUAGCUAGUGGAAAAAGGGAAAGCAUGAAGCCUUUGGAUUUCUUUUCUAUCACAGCUAUAAACAACCCCAAAUGGCCUCCCACAAAGUUGAUAAUGCAGCGCUGGGGUCAGUCUCUGCCCAUGGUACCCCAGGCAGUGAGGCUGGACCAGACGAGCUGAAUAAUUCGGUCUACCAGCCCAUCGAUGGAUCACAAGAUUAUCAGAAAGGAAAAUUACAAGUUCUUGGG
rnacentral:sRNA from 1 species